rnacentral:lncRNA from 1 species
GUGGGGAAGGAGGAAUGCUCCUCUCGGUUCACGCUGGGCCUUUUAUAGGCUGCAACUUCCCCUCGUUCUUCUCCUCUGUGGCUGAUCCAAAUGGGAGGAUAAGGUCGUGGAAGUUGAUCUGAUCCGAAGGAGGUUGAGAGGAGAUGAGCGUGGGACGUUAGGUGUUGAUGAGGAAUGCUGUUUCGAACGGGAUAUGCGGAAGAAAUCUGGACGCAUAGGAUAAGGAUGAACUCGGAACAGGGGCGCAGAGGAGAUGAUGUUGUUUUGUUGCUGGGAAGAAAUCGGCUGAUAGCUGGGGGGUUUGGAAGUUCAUGAGAUUUGACUUUAUCCCAUGGAGAUGGAAGAUUGGAUUCUCUGAUUCGUGGGAUCUUGGGAAGGAUGCGGAGAAGCUCGGCUGGGAGUGAUUCUGAAACAGGGGAAGGCGUGGGUGAAUGAAGAGAAGUUGAGGAGGUUUGGGAACGGCUGUGAAAUGAUCCGGAAGCUGUUGGGGCUUUGAUCCGAACGUUGGGGAGAAUCUCGGAGGCUGGUAGGAGCUACACUUAUCUAUGGCCGAUGAAGGAUUUGCUGUGAAUGAGGGGGUUUGGGACUUAUCCGAAGCAGGGGAAUGUGCCGUGAAGCUCGGGAGGAUGAAGCUGCAGACGUCGAGCAGGGGAGAUGAACUCUAUUUUGAGGCUAUGAUGAGGAUAAGGAAAUAGACUCGGUUGGUUGUGCUGCCGUUGGUUUGGGCUUAUCCGUGGGACGCGGAAGCUGAUCUUGCGAACGGGAAGAAGCUUGAGGUUGGUUGGCAGCGGGAUAAGGAUGGAAUUGAUCGGCAAGAGAUUGGGAUAGAUUUCGAAAGAGAUUAAUCCAAAACAGGGGAAUGGAAGAUGGCUGGAUACUCUGUUCCGAUUUGGUUUUGGUUGGGAAGAAAUGAAGAUCUUGGAUGACCGAAGCAUGGAGGAAGUGGACGAGAUAGGCUUAGAUGCUGGAUGCGAAGAUCAUGGGAUAUGGCCUGAUCUGUUCAAUGCGAAGGAGAAGCUUAGAUGAUGGCUGGAAACGGAUGCGGAGGAGAUGAGGAUUUGAGUUUAUCAGGCUCUGUUUGAACUGCUCACGGGAUGGGGAGAUGAGUUGGGAUUUAUUCUGAAGAAGGGAUAAGGAUGCUGGGAGAUUGACCUAGAAGAAAAGGAUGGCUUGGUUCUGUUCUUUGAACAUGGGAGGGAGAGUGACGUGGAAGCUUAAUUUCUAAGCACUAAAAGGGUGACGUGGACAUGGGUUCAGCUGCAAAAUCGACCUGCACAAAUUAGUUCAGACAUCAUCCCAAUUAGUUCGACUCGAUCUGCACAUAUUAGAAUUGACCAAUAAAAUCAAGCAAACUCGAAUUAUUUUUAAUAAUGCCAUGAUGAAGGGGAACACAUUUUCUUAUGUUAAAUUCACUCAAUAUAUGAAUUAAAAUAAUGAUAAGUGCUAUGAAUAAGAUAUUAAUUUAUGCAUUAUUUAGCACUUAUCACACCCCCAACCUACAUUUUGCUAGUCCUCAAGCAAAAUAAAAGCUAACUCACUUUGCAGGAAUCGCGAUUGCAUUUACCGUAUGCAAUAAGGCUUUAAAUUCCUAGGUGGCCCUAGUGGACGAGUUUUGUCUCGUGAGGGUUUCCGGCUCAGAUACCCACAAACUGUAGUCGAAAGAAUUUAUUUUAUUGAUUUAUAAAAUCUAAUUUCAAAUGCAUAAGUGCCAAGAAUUUCAAAAGCACACAAAGUUUUAAUUACUAAGUCAGCCCAAAUCCUAGGUCAGUAUGCAAUUUAAGUUGAAGUUAUUAAAUUUCCGUUAGGAAGUUGUAAGAUUUUUUUAUACUUGGGUGCUCGGUGAAAUCUGGACCAUACACAAGCUAAGGCUUUAUAUUCCCCAAAAUACUGCUAAAGCUAGUAGUUUCCAAGAAUUGGUCAGAUAAGACCUAUUCACUGAUUCAAAAUCAUCUUAUCUUGCAGGAUUUCGAGAGUUGUGGAUGUUUACUUUAAUACCUCAAGGGCUUUAUCUGUAAUAUUCCAGUUUACUCGAAUUUUUACAAUGACGGCUUUCACACUAUCAUCUUUUUCAAGGUCAAUAUUAUUUUCCCUUUCUCUUCUUCUUUUUUUUUAAAUUUAUUUAUUUUAUAUUUAUAAAUAAAUUAUGCACUUUUACUCUUGUAAUGAUUCCUCCGUAUAGCGAGCAUUCAGUCAACAACUCUCACACCAAAUAGCAUAAGGUGUUAGGCAUCAAGACUCCCCUACGGAUCUAUGCUCGGGUUCCUCAUACAAGCCCGCUGACCUUUGACAAUAGGUAGCCCUUUUCGAUGUACCUGACUAAAUUCACUUUUUUUUUUGAAUUAUGGGAUAAUAGUGAAUUAGAUAGGAAUGAUUCAUCAGGACUCAAGGUUGCUACCAGGCUUAACAACAUAAUGUUGAACCUAACCCUUAGAAGUGUAGGCCAUGUGUGUUGUGAAAUUUCAAAGUAAAAAUUAUCUUACAACUCGCUAAAAGAACUUUUAAUAAAAAGAACUCAAAUUGUCUUACUCCUGACUAGUCAUUGGGCUUUUUUAGAUUUUAUAUACUUUGUGUGUUUAUCAUUUCAGCACUAAAGCAUAGAAAUUAGGUUUUUUUUUUGAGAUAAACUUAUUUAAAAAUACGAAAAUGUAAAAAUUUCUUUAAAAAUUCGAAUUUCCUAUACCCCCCAACCUAGACCAGACAUUGUCCUCAAUGUUUUUUUUUAUUUUUUAUUUUUUAUUAUUUUUUAAAUAAUAUUAUAUUAUUAUUUUUUAUUUCUAUUGUUUUAUUAUUAUUAUUUUUAUUUUGGACGAAAAUAUGAUGCAUAUGGAGGAUAGAAGCAUUUUACCUUAAUUGCAUCAGUAAUAUGAGGACUCCUGAAAAAUGCGAUAAAUAAAUGUGCAAAAAUAACAUAUGAGAAUUGGGUUGCCUCCCAACAAGCGCUAAGUUUAAUGUCUUCAGCCAGACGCAGUGCAUCCUUAUCAAAUCAUACCGGGUUCAUGCCGAGUUCUCCAAGGAAGAAAAUUUGUGAGAGACUGAUUAUCAGGUAAGAAGUUGACUGCUUCUAUGGCCUUGUCUAUAUCAAAGUCAAAAUGGGCCAAGCAUGCAUUAAAAGAAAAACACAUCAAUUCCUUAUGUUUGCCUUAAAAUCACUAGACAGCUCCUAACUGGUUUGAAGAGGGCACCUAAGCCUCCAAUCCGAUCUAAUGACUGAGUUGACCAGGUAAGCUCCCAGGUAAGUGGGGGGGUCACGAUGCGUUGCAAAGGUUCCACUUAAAAACCACUUGCCUCGAACAGAUGAACUGUCUCCCUUAAAGGGACAAAGCUUGCCUAGACAUCAACUGAGCCACAGAGCGAAAUUGGUGCAACUUUCGGUGAUCUUCGUCCUACUGAGCUCGAAUGUCCCUAGGGGCCAACGUCUAAUUGAUUUUAAUUAAAGUGGUAACUAUGUGAGAAUUGAUUUACCUAAUUUGGGCAAGAAUCUGGUGAUGAAAUCUAGUUCUUAUCUUGUUGGGAUGAUUGCCCAUACUAUGUGCAGAUUAAUUGGUGUAUGUGUAUCAAGCAUGCAUUCACACUUUUGCUGAAAUUAAAAUCAAAUAAUCACUACAAAAGGGAAUUAAUUUAAAUAAGAAAGGUUUAGAGGUUACCAAAGAGAAUUUCCCCAGCAAUUUUUUUUAAUUUAUUUUUUAGGCAAACCUCUACUACAUUUCUUUUCCAGCAGUUUCCUUUUUGACCGUCCCAGAGUUCCUCUUUGAUUCCUGAUCAAAUAAUAUCAAGAGAAAAAUCAAAAAUUAGUAAGAGAAACAAGAGAUGAGGAAAGUAACAAAAAUAGAAAAUAUUUUUAUUUUAUUUUAAAUAUAUAUAUUUUUUUGAAAGUUUUUUUUUAUGAAAAGGAAAACAACUAUGCUAGCAAUGCCCGGCAACGGCGCCAAAAAUUGAUAGUCAACUUUAAAGAUCACGCAAUAGCACGUAUCUAGUAGGAUAGUGAUUACGGGUAUCGAUCCACAGGGAUUGGGGUACAGUUAUUUUUCUUAAAAAUAAAAAAUAUUUAAAAGGAAGAGUUUGUGAAGAAAAUUAAACUAAGGAAUUUAAUAAUGAAAAUGCAAUUAAAAUGAUAUCAGUUUGAGGGAACCUAGGGCAAGAAAUUCACCACUAACAUCGGAACAAGGGUUAUUUAUAAUUUAUUUCAUUCUUGGAUUAAUAUGCAAAUUGGCUACAAGCCUAAUAAGCAUUCGAAUAGAAAUUUAUAAAAGUAAUUUAGGCAUAAUCCAUCUUCAGUUGGCAUGAAAUGUCUACCCUAAUCUAAGGUGGCAGCACAUCGCAUCUUCCCUAAGCAUGGACUAUCUUAUAUUUACCUAGUGAUCAUGAAGAGCAGUUGUACGAACAUCAUACUUAAAAUCACUGAAAUUAAAUAUGAUUCAAAAGAAGAUAUCCAUUAAAAACAAUAAGUUCAUACAACCCCAAGAAUAUAAAAUAAAAUAUAAAACCCGUGUCUCUUUGUUAGGGCUGCAUCCAGCCCUAGAGAGGAGCUCAGGCUUCCAUGCAGUGGUAGACGGUAGCAGCAGCACAGCAGCAGGCUCCCAUUUCUAUCACGAUCGGCUUCCUCUGCCUCAGCACUUCAUUUUUUUCUUUCUUGUGAGAAGGCAUUCCCAAAAAGACCCAAACUCUUCCCUCUCCUGUUAUUUCAUCUUCUUCCGUGGGAACUUCACCUGUGAACCCGAGCUUGCCUUCCUCCCGGUUGGAAAAAGGAGGAAUGGGAGCAGUCCCCGGUGGGAAAGAAGGAAUGCUCCUCUCGGUUCACGCUGGGCCUUUUAUAGGCUGCAACUUCCCCUCGUUCUUCUCCUCUGUGGCUGAUCCAAAUGGGAGGAUAAGGUCGUGGAAGUUGAUCUGAUCCGAAGGAGGUUGAGAGGAGAUGAGCGUGGGACGUUAGGUGUUGAUGAGGAAUGCUGUUUCGAACGGGAUAUGCGGAAGAAAUCUGGACGCAUAGGAUAAGGAUGAACUCGGAACAGGGGCGCAGAGGAGAUGAUGUUGUUUUGUUGCUGGGAAGAAAUCGGCUGAUAGCUGGGGGGUUUGGAAGUUCAUGAGAUUUGACUUUAUCCCAUGGAGAUGGAAGAUUGGAUUCUCUGAUUCGUGGGAUCUUGGGAAGGAUGCGGAGAAGCUCGGCUGGGAGUGAUUCUGAAACAGGGGAAGGCGUGGGUGAAUGAAGAGAAGUUGAGGAGGUUUGGGAACGGCUGUGAAAUGAUCCGGAAGCUGUUGGGGCUUUGAUCCGAACGUUGGGGAGAAUCUCGAAGGCUAGUAGGAGCUACACUUAUUCAUGGCCGAUGAAGGAUUUGCUGUGAAUGAGGGGGUUUGGGACUUAUCCAAAGCAAGGGAAUGUGCCGUGAAGCUCGGGAGGAUGAAGCUGCGGACGUCGAGCAGGGGAGAUGAACUCUGUUUUGAGGCUGGGAUGAGGAUAAGGAAAUAGACUCGGUUGGUUGUGCUGCCGUUGGUUUGGGCUUAUCCGUGGGACGCGGAAGCUGAUCUUGCGAACGGGAAGAAGCUUGUNNNNNNNNNNNNNNNNNNNNNNNNNNNNNNNNNUCGGCAAGUGGUUGGGAUAGAUUUCGGAAGAGAUUAAUCCAAAACAGGGGAAUGGAAGAUGGCUGGAUACUCUGUUCCGAUUUGGUUUUGGUUGGGAAGAAAUGAAGAUCUUGGAUGACCGAAGCAUGGAGGAAGUGGACGAGAUAGGCUUAGAUGCUGGAUGCGAAGAUCAUGGGAUAUGGCCUGAUCUGUUCAAUGCGAAGGAGAAGCUUGGACGAUGGCUGGAAAUGGAUGCGGAGGAGAUGAGGAUUUGAGUUUAUCAGGCUCUGUUUGAACUGCUCACGGGAUGGGGAGAUGAGCUGGGAUUUAUUCCGAAGAAGGGAUAAGGAUGCUGGGAGAUUGAGCUAGAAGAAAAGGAUGGCUUGGUUCUGUUCUUUGAACAUGGGAGGGAGAGUGACAUGGAAGCUUAAUUUCUAAGCACUAAAAGGGUGACGUGGACAUGGGUUCAGCUACAAAUGCGACCUGCACAAAUUAGUUCAGACAUCAUCCCAAUUAGUUCGACUCGAUCUGCACAUAUUAGAAUUGACCAAUAAAAUCAAGCAAACUCGAAUUAUUUUUAAUAAUGCCAUGACGAAGGGGAACACAUUUUCUUAUGUUAAAUUCACUAUAUAUAUGAAUUAAAAUAAUGAUAAGUGCUAUGAAUAAGAUAUUAAUUUAUGCAUUAUUUAGUACUUAUCACAGCCCCCCAACCUACAUUUUGCUAGUCCUCAAGCAAAAUAAAAGCUAACUCACUUUCGCAGGAAUCACGAUUGCUUUUACCGUAUGCAAUAAGGCUUUAAACCCCUAGGUGGCCCUAGUGGACGAGUUUUAUCUCGUGAGGGUUUCCGGCUCAGAUACCCAC